UGGCUCAGAUUGAACGCUGGCGGCAGGCCUAACACAUGCAAGUCGAGCGGUAGAGAGGUGCUUGCACCUCUUGAGAGCGGCGGACGGGUGAGUAAUGCCUAGGAAUCUGCCUGGUAGUGGGGGAUAACGCUCGGAAACGGACGCUAAUACCGCAUACGUCCUACGGGAGAAAGCAGGGGACCUUCGGGCCUUGCGCUAUCAGAUGAGCCUAGGUCGGAUUAGCUAGUUGGUGAGGUAAUGGCUCACCAAGGCGACGAUCCGUAACUGGUCUGAGAGGAUGAUCAGUCACACUGGAACUGAGACACGGUCCAGACUCCUACGGGAGGCAGCAGUGGGGAAUAUUGGACAAUGGGCGAAAGCCUGAUCCAGCCAUGCCGCGUGUGUGAAGAAGGUCUUCGGAUUGUAAAGCACUUUAAGUUGGGAGGAAGGGUCGUUACCUAAUACGUGACGAUUUUGACGU
rnacentral:rRNA from 1 species